UGUAAAAUGAGCACCCAGCAGCCUUUCCUGGUGGGGUGUUCAAAAAGCAGUGCUACACCAAUGCAGCAUUUGGCAUCCUUGGUUUUCAUUCUGCUAUGUUUGUUAAACCUGGUAAUUUUGCUGAAACAGUC
rnacentral:snoRNA from 1 species